GUGGAGAACGGGUGAGUAACACGUGGGUAACCUGCCCAUCAGAGGGGGAUAACAUUCGGAAACGGAUGCUAAAACCGCAUAGGUCUUCGAGCCGCAUGGCUUGAAGAGGAAAAGAGGCGCAAGCUUCUGCUGAUGGAUGGACCCGCGGUGCAUUAGCUUGUUGGUGAGGUAACGGCUCACCAAGGCGACGAUACAUAGCCGACCUGAGAGGGUGAUCGGCCACACUGGGACUGAGACACGGCCCAGACUCC
rnacentral:rRNA from 1 species